rnacentral:misc_RNA from 1 species
CGGCUUCAUGCGCGUCUCUCUGCUGCGGCGCUUUUGCGAGUACGUGCCCAAAGGGGCACCGACGCAGGUGAGCCUUGCUGUCGAGACGCCGUACAGUGUUACACGCGCCUUUCGCAUGACGGAGAUGGCGGCCGCGGCGGCGGAUGCAGAGCGAGACGCGAAGGGUUUCUUUUACCUCCCCCGGGUGGACUACGAUGUUGGCCAGGGGGUCGCGCCGCUCAUGUCGAGAAAGCAAUUCGAUGUUCAGUAUCACGUAUUUCACAAGGCAGCGGUGGAUCGUCUGAACGCACACACCUUGGGAUCUGAACUGGAGGGGCACAACCUGAACGUUGUCAUCCGCAACUCCUCCUUCGAUGCAUCGCGCGCCGUCAUCCACGCUGCAGCGUCGGAGCAUUUCAACUACUGCUUCUGGUAUCGUUCUCUGCGUCCGUGGGGAACGGCGGUGCCAGCGCGGCUCAAGGAAGAGCUGCAGCUGCAGUACAGUCAAAAUGGGACCUUAGACGCUGUCGAGGAGGUGCAACGACUGUUCACGGUCGCCGCGCUUUCUCAGCAGUCCGCCGGCGGAUGGGUGUAUCUCGUCUGGACCGGUAAGGCGUUUGACGUGAUCCCUUUUGACCACGGGAGCUGCCCUAUCGGCAGCGACUUGAUUCCACUCCUAGCGCUGAACACGCACGAGUCGGCACGUUGUUACGACUACCCACUUGCGGCGGAGGACGAGGAGGGGGACGAGGUGGAGCGCUUUGUUCGAAACUUCUUCAAGACGUGCAACUGGAGGCUGGUGGAGCACUACUUCCUUCAGUGCGCUCGGGCCUAGCGAGCCGCUCGACUGUCUGCCGCGUUUCCGCUUCUAUUCACAUUGGCGUGCUCUCGUGUGUGCAUUCUUUUGUGCUGGCCUUGAUGUCUUGUGUGCUGUGGUGGUGGUAUGUCUCACUGAGCGACGUCCUGCGGUGCACGGUUCGCCUCCAUUGGCGGUGCGCCGCGGUUGUCGUGGCCAACUGUGCAGGCACGUUGUCAAGCAAUCCGCAUACGUCUGUCGCUCUACCCCUGCCUCUCUGCAUGCCUGGAUGAAUCGACGCGUUGCAGAACAAUAAAAAAAGGCCAACAACAACGCUAACAGCAGGAUACAUGGGAGGGACAAGCCUGCGCAGUGAUGACCUGUCCGUGUGUAUUAUGAGCUGCUUCCUCGGCACCCGCCUCGCACAUGCGUUCGAUGCUUGAGCAUUCGAAGCAAAAAAAAAAGUGCCACGCCAAGGCGUGCCGCAGUUCUUCUCGCAGACUCCAACGCGCGUGCAGCGCGACCAUAAACAACAGUGCCGAUCGGCCGUUUGCGGGGACUGUUGCCAAUCUCGGGUUAUUGUGUGAUCCUUGCGCGCCAUAAGGCUCCAGGUUUCACCCGCACUUCAGCCUCCACUUCUUGCCACUGCUGCGACCGCGUCUCCGGGCGUUCUCAUUCUACCUCUCCCAUUCAUUGGAAUAUUCUCUGGUGAUGUGUCGGCGUCACGUAACCAAUGAUCGGUUGGCCACGUUGGUUUUUUUUUGUUUGCUGUUGUUGCGCCCCGUUGCCCACGUUACGUCUGUGCAUCCCUUCAG